GACUGGUCCAUUCUCACUUGAUUGUUCACAGUCAGUUACAGAUUGAACCCCUUGUUCUGCUACUUUCCCCCCUCCUCACUACUGCACUUGACUAGUCUUUA
rnacentral:Y_RNA from 1 species